AUGAACGCUAGCUACAGGCUUAACACAUGCAAGUCGAGGGGCAGCAUGGUCUUAGCUUGCUAAGGCCGAUGGCGACCGGCGCACGGGUGAGUAACGCGUAUCCAACCUGCCUUACACUCUUGGACAGCCUUCUGAAAGGGAGAUUAAUACAAGAUGUUAUCAUGAGUAAGCAUUUUCGCAUGAUUAAAGGUUUACCGGUGUAAGAUGGGGAUGCGUUCCAUUAGAUAGUAGGCGGGGUAACGGCCCACCUAGUCUUCGAUGGAUAGGGGUUCUGAGAGGAAGGUCCCCCACAUUGGAACUGAGACACGGUCCAAACUCCUACGGGAGGCAGCAGUGAGGAAUAUUGGUCAAUGGACGAGAGUCUGAACCAGCCAAGUAGCGUGAAGGAUGAAGGUUCUAUGGAUUGUAAACUUCUUUUAUACGGGAAUAAACGAAUCCACGUGUGGAUUUUUGCAUGUACCGUAUGAAUAAGGAUCGGCUAACUCCGUGCCAGCAGCCGCGGUAAUACGGAGGAUCCGAGCGUUAUCCGGAUUUAUUGGGUUUAAAGGGAGCGUAGAUGGGUUGUUAAGUCAGUUGUGAAAGUUUGCGGCUCAACCGUAAAAUUGCAAUUGAUACUGGCAGUCUUGAGUACAGUUGAGGUAGGCGGAAUUCGUGGUGUAGCGGUGAAAUGCUUAGAUAUCACGAAGAACUCCGAUUGCGAAGGCAGCUUACUAACCUGUAACUGACAUUGAUGCUCGAAAGUGUGGGUAUCAAACAGGAUUAGAUACCCUGGUAGUCCACACGGUAAACGAUGAAUACUCGCUGUAGGCGAUAUACAGUCUGCGGCCAAGCGAAAGCAUUAAGUAUUCCACCUGGGGAGUACGCCGGCAACGGUGAAACUCAAAGGAAUUGACGGGGGCCCGCACAAGCAGUGGAGUAUGUGGUUUAAUUCGAAGCAACGCGAAGAACCUUACCAAGGCUUGACAUAUACAGGAAUAUUUAAGAGAUUAAAUAGCUCUUCGGAGUCUGUAUACAGGUGGUGCAUGGUUGUCGUCAGCUCGUGCCGUGAGGUGUCGGCUUAAGUGCCAUAACGAGCGCAACCCUUGCCGAUAGUUACUAACAGGUCAUGCUGAGGACUCUGUCGGGACUGCCAUCGUAAGAUGUGAGGAAGGUGGGGAUGACGUCAAAUCAGCACGGCCCUUACGUCCGGGGCUACACACGUGUUACAAUGGGGGGUACAGAGGGCUGCUACCACGCAAGUGGAUGCCAAUCCCAAAAACCUCUCUCAGUUCGGAUUGAAGUCUGCAACCCGACUUCAUGAAGCUGGAUUCGCUAGUAAUCGCGCAUCAGCCACGGCGCGGUGAAUACGUUCCCGGGCCUUGUACACACCGCCCGUCAAGCCAUGGGAGCCGGGGGUACCUGAAGUGCGUAACCGCAAGGAGCGCCCUAGGGUAAAACUGGUGACUGGGGCU
rnacentral:rRNA from 1 species